rnacentral:rRNA from 1 species
UGGGGAAUAUUGCACAAUGGAGGGAACUCUGAUGCAGCGACGCCGCGUGAGUGAUGAAGGACUUCGUUUCGUAAAACUCUGUUCUAUGGGAAGAAAAGGACUGUACCAUAGGAGAAAGCUCCGGCUAAAUACGUGCCAGCAGCCGCGGUAAUACGUAUGGAGCGAGCGUUGUCCGGAAUUAUUGGGCGUAAAGGGUGCGCAGGCGGCUUUACAAGUUGGAUGUGAAAUAUUGUGGCUCAACCACAAACGUGCAUCCAAAACUGCAAAGCUUGAGUUAAAGAGAAGUAAGUGGAAAUCCGGGUGUAGCGGUGGAAUGCGUAGAUAUCAGGAGGAAUACCGGUGGCGAAGGCGACUUACUGGACUUAAACUGACGCUCAGGCACGAAAGCGUGGGGAGCAAACAGG